GGCCAUAUCGUACACGUGUACCGUGGGUUACCGCAGUGUGGGUGGAGAUGGCUACAUCCAGUGUGGGGACGACGGGCGAUGGAUGGGGACACCUUUACAAUGUGAACCAAUCCAGUGUAGCCGGCCUAAAGGAAUACUCAAUGGACAGGUGGUAGGGGACAGCUUCACCUACAGAUCUACUGUGUCCUACGAGUGUAACCAGGGUUACCAGCUCUCUGCCUCCUCUUCAUCGGUGAAGCAAUGCAACCAAUAUGGCCAAUGGAUCCCACGCAAAGAUCCCGAGUGUGUUCGUGUGCAGCGCUAUUAUUUUUCAUCAAAAUGAAUCGAUUGACGUAUUUACUGAAGUAGCCUGCUUUAUCACUAUUUCACUACAUGUACAAUAGUAUUGGCCAAUAAGACAAACUCAAAGACGCUAGAUAGACCUGACUUAUUAAAGGACAUAAGAUGCAUAUGAGGGUGCUUCUCCACACAGUAUGGUAAAUUCAGACUACGUCUCUCACUACAUGAAUUAAUGACAGAAAUAUGAUUUUUCACUUGGUUCCAGACAAUUAGGUACUGCAUAUUUCCUCCUACUGGGGUACAUUUUCUUUUUUUUUUUCUUUUUUUACACUUCCGAAAAUCAGACGACACAAAGGUGAUACAAUUUCCUAACACCGCCACGUCACGAGUCUAUGGCUUUUAAAAACCAAACAAAAUCUCCCUUGUCGAAAAAGCUAAUAAAUACUGCCAGAAAACGGUCA